rnacentral:rRNA from 1 species
UACGGAGGGGGCUAGCGUUGUUCGGAAUUACUGGGCGUAAAGGGCUCGUAGGCGGCCAACUAAGUCAGACGUGAAAUCCCUCGGCUUAACCGGGGAACUGCGUCUGAUACUGGAUGGCUUGAGUUCGGGAGAGGGAUGCGGAAUUCCAGGUGUAGCGGUGAAAUGCGUAGAUAUCUGGAGGAACACCGGUGGCGAAGGCGGCAUCCUGGACCGAUACUGACACUGAGGAGCGAAAGCCAGGGGAGCAAACGGG